ensembl:miRNA
UUUUAGUACUUCUUUUGUGGUAGUUUGUGUUGUUUGUUUACUAUUAUCUUUAUUUUAAACUUCACACAGAUUACAAAGGAUCUGGAA